ensembl:lncRNA LINC02809 long intergenic non-protein coding RNA 2809
CAAAAAACCAAAUGGAUCUUGUUCCGCAUAGGGCAGACAGGACCCAGAGGACACAGCAGUCCACAACAAAGGCACUGGAUUCUGAAUGGCCCCUGUCUUGUUUGGGGAGAGGGGAACUGUUGGUCCCCGUCUGUGUUCCGAGGCUUGGUGACAAAUUCUAGCAAACCUUAGUGGUUUAAAACAGCAGUCCACAUAGAUGGUCUCUCACAGUUCCUGGGAAGCAGGACCCUGGGCUCCAUGGCAACCUGGUUCUGCUCUAAGGUCUCAACUGAGGUGUCAGUGCCUGGGUUUACCUCGAAGGUAUUGUAGUGGGGUAGGUUGGGCACCCCCCUUCACAUCCAGCUGGAGCCUUGGAGCAGGACCUCCUGUAGAACCAGGGUCUUGGCAGACAUCCUCAAUGAGUGACGUCGAGACCAGGCCAUCCUGGAUUAGGGUGGGCCCUGGACCCGUAACAGGUGAUCGUCUAAGAGAAAGAGGAGGGGGAUCUGAGAUGCACAGAUCGGGAACCAGCCAUGAAGACAGGCCAGAGACUGGAGUGUGUGGCCAUGCGCCUGAGGCACCUGAGCCACCAGGAGCUGGAGGAGGCUGUGCAGGGUCCUCCCCAGAACCUUUGGAGGGAGCAUGCCCGGGACACCUCAAUGUGGGGCUUCUGGCUGCAGAGUUGCGAGGAAAUACCUCCCUUGCUGUUGUGAACCACCCAGGUUGUGGUAACUUGCUGUGGCCACCCUGUGAUGCCAGUAUACCUCCUUCCCUCAUGUCUGGUGCCAAGGCCGGGAGAGUCAAAUACCUGGGGCUAAAAGCAUUGGGGUUCCUCAGAUGAUCCUCUUUGCACCCCUGCAUAGGGUGUCUGCCCACACGGCCUCAGGGUCAUGAGUUUUCUGCAGGCAGCCACCUGACCUGUCCAGCCGGACAUGUGUCUCCCCCAUGGGUCAGUUUGGGCAGCAGGUUGGGUCCCGUGUAAGGCUCAGGGCUGCUGGGCUCUGAUGUCACCUGUUGCCACGGUGACUCUGGUUGCUAGGAUCAGACUACUCCCUUCCUGGGCACACUGUAUCCCGAAUCCCCAGAAGAACCAAGGGGAUCCCCCAGCACAAGGCUCGUUGGGGAGGGAGUCCUUGGCGCUCAGAUUUGAGAGAGAGAGUCGGGGCUGGCCAGGGGGCGUGGCUUGGGCAGAGGAGAGUGCUCAUGGUGACCCUGGAGGAGACCCUCCCUUCCCUCGUUCAUUGCUCCCAAGGCCAGGUGUCUCUAAAGGAAGCCAGUUGUGGAGAAUGUUGGUCCUGCAGUGGCGAUUAAUGCAAAGAUGCCCUGAACAAAGCAGGACACACGUGCCUGCCUGCUACCCCUGCCCAGCUGCUGUUCUUGGACGCAUGUGCUCUUCUGGUGGGACCCGUGAAUACGUGGCUCACGGUCCUGGGGCACACCCCAUUGUGUGAGGCUGGGGGUCUUGUGGGGAGCCAGGCCCCUGGUGUGGGUCCCUGCUCAGAAGCCCCACGCAGCCCCUGUUCUGCUGAGUGCGGCUGAAAGCCCCCCAUACCCACAGCCCUCUGUCCUCAAAUUUUUCUCAUUUUAAAAAUUGUGGUAAAAUACCCAUAACAUAGGACUUACCAUUUUAACCUUUUAAAAAUAAUUUAAAUUUUUUAAGAGACAGGGUCUUGCUCUGUCACCCAGGCUGGAGUACAGUGGCGUGAUUUUGGCUCAUUACAGCCUCCGCCUCCUGGGCUCAAGCAAUUCUCCCACCUCAGCCUCUUGAGUACCUGGGAUGGUAGGCACGCACCACCAUGCCAGCUAAUUAAUAUAUUUUUUCUUGUACUGACUGGGUCUCAGUAUGUUGCCCAGGCUGAUCUCAAAUUCCUGGCCUCAAGCGAUCCUCCCACCUCAGCCUCCUGAGUAGCUGGGAUUAUAGGCGAGAGCCACUGCAUCCAGUGACUUUUUUUUGUUUGUUUCUCUAAUAGCUGCCAUCCUGAUGGGGUGAGCUGGUGUCUCAUGGUGGUUUUGAUUUGCCUGUCCUGAAGGACUCGUGACUUUGAGCGUCUUUCCAUGUGCUUGCUGCUGUUUAUAGAUCUUCUCCGGAGACAUGUCUGUCUUCCCUCUCAUUCUUGCAUGCGGGCGUCCACAGGCUGACCCCUCAGCUGCUCAGCCAGGCCCCUGCUCCUGUCCACAGAGCCCACCCUCCAGGUGCACUCCCUGCCUGCCUCCUGCAGGUUCCUUUCCUGGGCAUGGUGGCCCAGCCCUCUCUGUCCCUCACCUCACCUGCUUUCUUCAUGGCAUGUGCACAUCUGACAUGGUUACUAGUUGUGUGAUUUCUGUCUGCCUUUGCAGUGGACACACCACAGACGCUCAGCCAAUGCUUGAACCAGCAGGUGGGUGGGACUAUGCCAGGACGGGAUGGUGGCUCAGAGAGGGGCUGCCUGGUCUGGGGCCUGACAGGCGGGAGGAGGAGAGGCCUGUAGCACCCAUUGGAGGUGUGUGGUCGCCCAGCACAAGAACAAGGGAGGAGGCAGUCAGGCGGGGGCGCUCCUGCCCAGGCCACGGAGCUUUAAUUAAAACCCGCCCGGAGCAUGACCCCACUCUGCCAUGCAUUCUUCACUUAAUUGGGGCCCUUCAGGAGGGGCCGGCUGAGGUUAAUUAAAAAGCCCAGCUGAAGA